CAGUCGCCGCGGUAAUACGAAGGGGGCAAGCGUUGUUCGGAAUUAUUGGGCGUAAAGGACGCGUAGGCGGUUUGGCAAGUUUGGUGUGAAAUCUUCGGGCUCAACUCGAAGUCUGCAUCGAAAACUGCCGGGCUUGAGUAUGGGAGAGGUGAGUGGAAUUUCCGGUGUAGCGGUGAAAUGCGUAGAUAUCGGAAGGAACACCUGUGGCGAAAGCGGCUCACUGGACCAUAACUGACGCUGAGGCGCGAAAGCUAGGGGAGCAAACAGGAUUAGAUACCCGUGUAGUCCCUGUCUCUUAUAC
rnacentral:rRNA from 1 species